rnacentral:misc_RNA from 1 species
CCGAGUUUACAACUCCCAAACCCCUGUGAACAUACCAUUGUUGCCUCGGCGGAUCAGCCGCUCCGGUACGGACGCCGCCAGAAGGACCCUAAACUCUGUUUCCUAGAUGACUACUUCUGAGUAAAUCAUGAAAUAAAUCA